ACGAACGCUGGCGGCGUGCCUAAUACAUGCAAGUUGAGCGCUGAAGGUUGGUACUUGUACCAACUGGAUGAGCAGCGAACGGGUGAGUAACGCGUGGGGAAUCUGCCUUUGAGCGGGGGACAACAUUUGGAAACGAAUGCUAAUACCGCAUAAAAACUUUAAACACAAGUUUUAAGUUUGAAAGAUGCAAUUGCAUCACUCAAAGAUGAUCCCGCGUUGUAUUAGCUAGUUGGUGAGGUAAAGGCUCACCAAGGCGAUGAUACAUAGCCGACCUGAGAGGGUGAACGGCCACAUUGGGACUGAGACACGGCCCAAACUCCUACGGGGGGCAGCAGUAGGGAAUCUUCGGCAAUGGACGAAAGUCUGACCGAGCAACGCCGCGUGAGUGAAGAAGGUUUUCGGAUCGUAAAACUCUGUUGGUAGAGAAGAACGUUGGUGAGAGUGGAAAGCUCAUCAAGUGACGGUAACUACCCAGAAAGGGACGGCUAACUACGUG
rnacentral:rRNA from 1 species